rnacentral:rRNA from 1 species
GACGAACGCUGGCGGCGUGCUUAACACAUGCAAGUCGAACGGAAAGGCCCUGCUUUUGUGGGGUGCUCGAGUGGCGAACGGGUGAGUAACACGUGAGUAACCUGCUCUUGACUUUGGGAUAACUUCAGGAAACUGGGGCUAAUACCGUAUAGGAGCUCCUGCUGCAUGGUGGGGGUUGGAAAGUUUCGGCGGUUGGGGAUGGACUCGCGGCUUAUCAGCUUGUUGGUGGGGUAGUGGCUUACCAAGGCUUUGACGGGUAGCCGGCCUGUGAGGGUGACCGGCGACAUUGGGACUGAGAUACGGACCAGAGUGCUACGGGAGGCAGCAGUGGGGAAUAUUGCACAAUGGGCGGGAGCCUGAUGCAGCAACGUCGCGUGCGGGAUGACGGCCUGCGGGUUGUAAACCGCUUUCGCCUGUGACGAAGCGGGAGUGACGGUAAUGGGUAAAGAAGCACCGGCUAACUACGUG